rnacentral:lncRNA from 1 species
AAAGUUUGUGUGUAGAUUAUCCUUACAAAGCUUCACACUCUAUAUUCUUAAGGUUGGCAUGCAUCCAUGGCAUCUUUGUGGCAUAAGCUCGUUUCUUGCUUUACCAAUUUUACCGAAUGAUGCGCUGCUUGAGGUGGGAAAGGUGCAGAAAAAGCUCAAAAAACAGAUACGUACAAGCCUUCAUCCCUUUCAGGGAAAGGUUCUCAUUUCAGUCUUGCAAUUCAAAUGCAAAUGUUCAAAGAAUCAAAGCCAAGGCCACAGUAAAGCGUCUCAGCUCCAUGUCUUCUUCCAUCACCCAUUUCUUGUGGGUCCAACACAUCAAGCACUGAAUCUUUUGUGAGCCUACCAAUAGGCAAGGAAUGAUCCCAAGUCACAGCAUGCAAGAUAGUGGAAGGUAAACAUUCUCAGAUUCCUCCCACUUUUUCAUCUCCUUGAAAGAUAGAUCCCUGCUGGCCGGUGCACUUUCUUAUCUUCCAAGACAUCUAAAGAAUACUCCACAACCUUCGCCAUUGAAGUCAUGAUAAAAAGAUCCUGCUUUCGGUCAUCACUGUUUGUCUUCUUACGGCCGCCCAAAUGAUCGGAUUCCUCCACCUUUAGCUGCCUCUAUAAGAACAACCAGACACCGGUGGCUGGCUCCGCAUCAUCAGGCUAAAGAGACUCCAGCUGUUCCUCCCCCUCCUGCCACAUAAGCUCGCCAUUGAAGCAUGAACGAUGCCAUCGAGGCCUCGAAUGCCAACCAGAGUCAUUCGACAGCAACAGGUACGUGGGUUGCUGAAGGAGCGCAAAACAGCAAGAGUGCGGCGUAUUCUUACUCUGCAGUGGUGGCGCAAAGAGCUUUGUAUGGAUCCAACAGGCGACGAGUUGGUGGUAGAAAGGUUGGAGGCAGAGAUGCCAAGUCAGUACCAAGUAGGUUAAGCAAGGUAUCUGAUGCAGAUAACACUACAAAUUAGCUCCAGUGAUUCAUGAUGUCUUGUUAGAGUAGCACUGGGCUAUGGAUAGAUGUUCUUCUAAAAUGAUGUAAUGUAAGUUAUGUAGUUCUGAUGAGCAAGGUUAGUUUUAUGAGGUAGAAUAAACUCUGUUAACAGUCAUCUAAAUAUUUUUAUAUGUGCUUCUUGGCUCUAUGACUGGUUCUGCCAAGGAUUUUUUUCCAUUCAGAGGUAGAAGAGGCAAAAUAAAUGGUAUAAUUGGCUCCUCAAGCCAAAUAGGAUCACCGAGAUGAAGACAUGUUAAGCCCUGAAACUGACUAUACCAUCCCUCAUUAUGCUUUACUCGCAAAUUUUAAUUCUUUUGGUGGUGGAAAAACCAAAAUCCUUCUGUGGUGUAUUGCUUAUUUAAAUGGUUUUCCUCCCCUUUCAAGAACAAACAUAAAACAACACAAGAGAAACAUAACAUCAUUCACAUAUGCAUAUCUUGAUCUUAUCCUAAGUCGCUUUGCAGUUGUUUAAUUGUUAUGAGCUUUAUAAAAACAUAAUGAUGUAAAAGCUGAUUGUAUUCAUUCUCAGCUAAAGAAAUGAAGCUUUUUUAUGUAAGAAAUGUUUAUAAAAUAUACAGGGGGUCUGUUUUUUAAAAAAUUUAUUUUUCAAAUUUCAUGACUUGGUAGUCUUUUUAAAAAAGAUUCCAUGAAAAGACAAUCAAAAGAAAGGGUUUCACCACACAGUGGAUUUGUUAGCAAAAAAGAAAAAAAAACUACAAAAAUAGAUCCAGUCAAAUACUCUCAUGCAUGCUCCCAAUUUCCCUAUUUUUAAGCAAUGUCUAAUCUGUCUUCUUUUAGACAGAUACGAAGUUUGACGCACUCAAUCCAAAUUUCUAAAAAUCCAAGACCAUUCCCAAAAUAUCCAUCAUUCUUCCCUAAAAAAAGCCGACAAUCUGUCAAGCGCCAGCACGAAUCCCGUCCUCGCCCUCGUCCUCGCCGUAAAAGAAAAAAAAAGAACGAAACCCUAAUCCUAACCCGAACCCUUGCCGUAGAAGUUUGAAUACCUUCGAGAAUCCCCAAUCUCUCCGCUUUCCAAUGCGCGACUUCGAUGGGCGCUGCCCCGCCGGGAUCC